rnacentral:rRNA from 1 species
UACGGGGGGGGCAAGCGUUGUUCGGAAUUACUGGGCGUAAAGGGCUCGUAGGCGGCCAACUAAGUCCGACGUGAAAUCCCCAGGCUUAACCUGGGAACUGCGUCGGAUACUGGAUGGCUUGAAUUCGGGAGAGGGAUGCAGAAUUCCAGGUGUAGCGGUGAAAUGCGCAGAUAUCAGGAGGAACACCGAUGGCGAAGGCGGGUCUCUGGGCCGUAACUGACGCUGAGGAGCGAAAGCGUGGGGAGCGAACAGG